UGGUUCUGGCAUCGAUGAAGAACGCAGCGAAAUGCGAUAAGUAAUGUGAAUUGCAGAAUUCAGUGAAUCAUCGAAUCUUUGAACGCACAUUGCGCCCAUUAGUACUCUAGUGGGCAUGCCUGUUCGAGCGUCAUUUCAACCCUUAAGCCUAGCUUAGUGUUGGGAAUCUACAUAUUGGCAGGUGCUACCCUGUACCUACCCUGUAGUUCUUGAAAAUCAACGGCGGAUUUAUAGUGUCCUCUGAGCGUAGUAACUUUCGUCUCGCUUUUGUUAGGUAUCAUAAUUCUUGCCGAGAAACCCUAUAUUUCUAAUGGUUGACCUCGGAUCAGGUAGGAAUACCCGCUGA
rnacentral:misc_RNA from 1 species